AAAAAAAACUUUGAAAAGAGAGUUAAAUAGUACGUGAAAUUGUUGAAAGGGAAGCACUUAUGACCAGACUUGGCCCCGGUGAAUCAUCCAGCGGUUCCCGCUGGUGCACUUUGCCGGGGUUCAGGCCAGCAUCAGUUCGCUCCGGGGGAUAAAGGCUUUGGGAAUGUGGCUCCCUCGGGAGUGUUAUAGCCCAUUGCGUAAUACCCUGUGGCGGGCUGAGGUUCGCGCUUUAUGCAAGGAUGCUGGCAUAAUGGUCAUCAGUGACCCGUCUUGAAACACGGACCAAGGAGUCGUCUUCGUAUGCGAGUGUUCGGGUGUUAAACCCCUACGCGUAAUGAAAGUGAACGCAGGUGAGAGCCCUCCAGGGCGCAUCAUCGACCGAUCCUGAUGUUCUCGGAUGGAUUUGAGUAAGAGCAUACGGGGCCGGACCCGAAAGAAGGUGAACUAUGCCUGUAUAGGGUGAAGCCAGAGGAAACUCUGGUGGAGGCUCGCAGCGGUUCUGACGUGCAAAUCGAUCGUCAAAUAUGGGCAUGGGGGCGAAAGACUAAUCGAACCUUCUAGUAGCUGGUUUCCGCCGAAGUUUCCCCUCAGGAUA
rnacentral:rRNA from 1 species